CGCAAACAGAUCAGCUGCAAAGUGCUACAGCUUCUACUAUUACCACUGACAGUGGAGGGACCUCAAAGAAAAGUCAUCGUCAUCUAAAAAGCCAACAGCUUGUCCAGUGAUAGGAAACAGCAUGGAAAGAAAGUGAAGUAAAAAGAAAGGAGAACUCUAAAAGAAACAGGCCCGCUUAUCUUUUCCAAACUUCUCGCAAGUGAUGUUUAAGUGCCUGCAAGCCAAUAUCAUACAAAGUCUGGAAGCCUGGCAACAACCGCUUCUCACAGUAAUGUAAGUUGAGUUACUAAACUACUGGACCUCACAUCAAACUGGCUGAAGAAUAUUUUGCUUUACCGAUUCGACGAGGGAGGAUGUGGAAAAUGUGGUUGUGUUCACCUCUGGCAGAAGGACAACGGCAAAGAGUUGGUGAGUAACAGUUCAUAUUGUUGCAGCUAUUUCUUUACUGAAAUGGAUAUGUAGGACCUAAGUUAUAAUUUUGCAAAACCAAAGGGAAUUAAUCCAGAGUUAAACUCUGAUAUGAUCACCAAGUUAAUCGCUGCAUCAAUGGUUUUUGAAGUGCUACAUAAUUUUAGUUACUAUUAACUGGUUGCAAGCCACUUUAAUAAGUCCAACCACAUAAACCAAUCAUUUGUGAGACUCCUAAAAGAAAUCCUAUUCCCACUGGCAAUGCAGUCCUCCAUCAUUUGGCUAGAUACGUUUGCUGGAGACAGAGUUCUACCAGACUGGUUCAAGUCAAGAUGACAAAUUCCAUGUUCCAGACAGAAAAAAAAUAUUUCCAUCAGGCAAAGAAAUUCAGAGAAAAAAAAAAUCAAUGAUUAUUUUUUGGAGAUAGAUCUCUUUCAUAUUGAUGAGUCCAGUCUUGUGAGGUAAUUUGUUGGAGUUUGAAAUGAACACUCUCUAUUCUCAGUGAUAACGAAUGUCACUUAGAGCUUGUCAAUAACCCCUAAUAACUGGAGAAGUGUCAAAACCUAACGUGCUUAAUCUUUGGAGAAAAUAAUAAAGGAGAGAUUUUAGAAGGUCAUCAUCAAAAUAUCUUCACAUGCACUCGAAAUGGACAGCUUGAAAAAAGGUAUGAGUUCUGUUUUAUUCUGUGCGUGACCUGAUACAGUACAACUGCAGUCUUGAAUAUAGGCUGCAAGAAGAAACAGCUUGGAAUACAUAGGUAUUUGGAGGAUUUAUGUUAAUCAUUGUUAAACUGUUUUUGUACCUCAAGUGACCUGCUGAAAGAACUUUGAGCUUAAAUGUUUGUCUUCUUUUCCCAG
ensembl:lncRNA